CCGACUAGAUUGGCUUGGUUUUGGUUUUAACCAAUAACCGAUCCAAACCGAACCACGAAAACUCCUAUACAGGAGUCUUUAUACAAUUCAUCUCUUUUUUUUCUCUCUUACACCCUUCAACUUCUCCUACAAUUUCUCCAUAAAAUCAGUUUUGAAUUUCAAAUAUAUUACAUUACGCUCUCAAUAGAUCGUGAAUUUAAAAUUUCAGUUGUUGAACGUAUACAAUGGAUGAUCACACUCUAACAACAAGAUUGAAAGAGGUUCAAUAGACAGAUCUAAAGCUAUUAGAGAGGUUAGAUCUGAAUAUAAGAACGAUCCAAUUAGAUCGAAAGGAAUCAAUGGAAAAGCAAAAAAAAUUGGCGUAAUGAUUGUUGAGGGAGGUAUUAAGCAUCAGGGUGAUGCUAGUUCGACAAAGAAGAGGAAAGGAAAAGAAAUUGAUCCUUCUGGUGAACAUGCAAUCUAACGGAGAGGAGAUUUCUGCCGUAACGAAGCAAGUUGAACAUGAAAAAGUUUAUGUAUUUUUAGUUUUUUGCAUGUUUUAAAAUUGGCAUAAUACAUAAAUGUGCCUUUCAA